AGCUGAGGAGAGAGCAGACAGCACAGAGUUAGUCCUCAGGCCAUCCACUCAUUGGGAUGUCCCUAUGUGAGGCCUUCUAAGUGCAUGUUCCUUUGUUACGGUCUCUCAGGCUGUCAAAGGACAAUGAUCCUACUAAGUCAAUGAUCCUACUAAGUACCCAAGGCAUGGAUCCCAUACUAAGCCUAUCCUGCAAGUGUGGCCAGUGUUUAAUAUGUUUUUUGGUCAUUUUUUUUUUUGGUAAAUGGCCCAAAGAAAGAAAUUAAUCUUGCUGGCCCAGUGUUUCCCAUCAGUGAGAUGGGGUAAUGCCUACCUACCCUAUGUAUGGUUUGUAGAGUUGAGAGGAUUGUAGCCAUACAAAUCUGACUGGGCCUGAUAUAUAGAUGCUCAAUGAACCAGAAUGAGCCAGUGAGCUGCUGAUCACCAGAGCUCAGAAGACCUUGACUCUCCACUUUAUUCAGGGUGGACAGUCAAGGUGGCCAUCACCUCUCUUUCCCAGUGAGCAAAGAGCUAGCUGAUUCCCAGGGACCAGAUCUAGAUAAACCUAAAAUCGAAUGUCGAAGGUACAAGACAAGCUUUUAGGAACCUUGAAUAUUAAAGCAGACCCCAGGAAGACUGGUCAGCGAUAGGCCUGGGCAUCAGGGGAAGAAGUGGACCUCCUACCCUACCCCCAACCCUCUAGAGAACAGACAUAGUCUUCAUGGGUAGAGAACCCAGGAAAACAGAUGAAAGGUACAGCAAGAUUCAAGGUCACAAGCCUUAAGGCCAUGAGGCCAGGCCAAGGCAGCUGCAGGCAGGCAAAUACCAAAGGGCCUGAGUCCCUAGGUCCUUCUCCCACAGGGCCAGAGUGGAAAUAUGGCUGAGAUCUGGCAAGAACGGUGGUCAGUGCUUUGGUUCAGCUAGCACCACGACCAAGCCUAGCAAUGGCUCUGCUCAAAAUGAUUUGACUCUUCUCUAUAAGAUGGCCUGACAGGGUUGAAUCAGUGACAUGCAUGAGGUGUGUGGGCCACCAAAACUGGGUGAGCUGAGGCAACCUAUGGCUGGAUGUGGGGUACACAAAGCAAAAGAAUCUUUGAUCUGUGACAUUAGUCAUAGGCCAUUGGGUUUUUUGUUUUUUUGCUUGUCUGUUUUUAAUUGUAAGUUGCUUGAAAAAAGAAAAGCCCUCCCAAAUGGUCUCUAUUGAGCCCCAGAAAAUGGUCUUCCUUUUCUUCAGCAGAGUUGGAGGAGUCCUGAAAAUUCAACACUGGUCCUUGUAGCCGACCCAUGGCAAUGAGUGAUGCCCAGCAUGCUCUCCGCUGGCCUACACCCAUCCUUCCCUCUGAGCCCAAUAGUCCCAGCAUGCCUUGCAGGUCUGCAUCAGCUUCUAGAUACUGUGGCCCUCCCCAGGAACACCAUCUCCUGGGAGGACAAUGGAAGUUCCCUGAUGACAGGGAAGCCACAGUCAUGGUGUAACUCAGUCUGAAUGCUCACCCAGUAUUCCAGCACCUCGAGAGGGAUCAUCAGGGACCAGACCCAGGAUGACUGUGCUGAAUGUGGUGGGGACUGUCUCACCACAGGUGAAAGGUCGGGGGCUCACGCAGUAAGUACUUAGCAAAAAUAAGCGGACCAUGAGAUGAUGAUGACAAUGGUGUUGAUGAUGAUGAUGGAGGAAGAGGAGGAGGAGCAGGAGGAGCAGCAGGAGACCAUGCCAAGAACAUGAGAGUAUACAGGGGAACUGGUUUGUAGCAAGCACAUAAGGAGGGGAGGGUUCCCCACUCACUUCUGCCUCCGGCCUACCCGCUAUGUUACUCUCUGAACACAAAAUUCCUCUUCCUCUAUUUUGAGGCUCUAUUUUUUUUUUAAAUUGUUGUUGGUUUGGUUUGGUUUUGUUCCUCGAGACAGGGUUUCUCUGUGUAACAGCCCUGGCUGUCCUGGAACUCACUCUGUAAACCAGGCUGGCCUCGAACUCAGAGAUCCACCUGCCUCAGCCUCCUGAGUGCUGAGAUUAAAGGAAUGCAAUACAACCAUCCAGCUGUUUGCACUAAACCCCAUCUCUGGAUCUCAGGGGGAAAGGGUUCUAGCUCACAGCUGAUCUUCUAACCUACAGCCAGUCCCUAGCCCCAGGCUUGCCUCUCAGGGAGGUCAGUUUUUGUUUCUUCUCCUGAACAUCUCUACUUCAGACUCUUCUCACGGAGGGAAACCUACCUACAGAAAUAGAGGAUGUGGCCCAGAAGUCAAGUUUCCAAAAGAGGAACUGAGUCUAAGUCACCCUGUGAGUCCCAGGAGAAGGGCAACCUUGGCAGAGGCACCCUUGAACCCUGAGGCCCUCGGGGAUGAGACUAUGUUUGCUCUGAAGGCUGGUGCCUCAUGCUGUGUGGACCCACAACUGCCCCCAUCAGCCUGUGGGGUCCAGCAUGUGUAUCUUCUCCCAGGUCUUUUUUUCUAGUCUAGGGAAUAUUGCUCCAAGGUACAGGGAGAGAUUGAUUGAUAAAAAGCACUUUACAAAGCAAAAGAACCAUAAAAGCUGGGACACUGGUGUUUGGGUUAUCCAAGUGUGGACCAGAGCUAAUGUAAACUAAAGGCUAAGAGAGGAAGUGACCCGGAGUCCACAGUAAACAGAAGGCCCAGGCGCCCGUUGGAACUUUCUUUUCCAUAAAGGGAGACAGGAGCCAGAGGCCCCCAGGCCCUUGUGUCAACCAGUCAGCUUUAGGCUUCCCUUCCCAUCCAAGCAGAGUCUUCCCCCCUUCCCUGGGGCCUCGGGGCAGGCAUGGAGACACCAGGAGACUGGAGCAGCUGCCUCUGCCCUGCUUCUGUGGGUGAGUCAUUUGGGGUGUGACUCUUACAGCAGCUCAGCAAUUCUCAGCGUCUUUGGCACCAUUCUGGCCGGCGACUUGGCAUGGAGAGAUGUUCCAGAAACUUCCUUGGAUAGGGGAAAGACUCAUCUAUAGGGGACUAGACCGUUGGAUGACUCCGCUGAGUUAGAGCCUCCUCUCUACCUGGAUUCCUACUUAGGGCUUGUGAGAUGGACAGUGGCUGUAUCGGGGCUCCUGAAGCAACACAGACCAUUUUCUUCAGACACCCUUGACCACUUCCUCUCUGGUCGGCAGGAAAAUGUUUAGGCGUUUGGGAGUAAGAGCCGUGUUUUCAGGGCAGGGAUAUGAGUGGGGAUGUGGGAGGUGGUGAGAGGUAAAGGGAAGGAGAAAGGUCUCAACGAGGAGACCUAGGGCCAAUGGGUGGAGGCCCCUCAAGCUGGGAUUCAACAGCAGUCAUGUUUUCCCACACAGACUGAGAGGCCCUAAGGUAACAGGUCCUCUGAUAUUGAAAGGACACAAGUAUGUCUGGAUGCUCUCCUGACUAGACAUGCCCUGAGCUAGUAAAAGUCCCUUUCCCACUGACCCCAUGCCCCAACUCUGCACUCAGUUUUCUAGCACCAGGAGACAGAGAGGAACCUACUGAGAUUCAACUGAAGAGGUUUCUGGUUCUUAAUACACAGGCUUCUAGUCUCUUAUGUCCGUGCCCCAUGAUUUCCCAAUCUUGGCUGCCUGCUCACCUCCCCCCUCAGAACUUAGCCGGGCCCUCUGUCCCCCUUAGAGCUGACAGUAUGAGCUCAUCUGAACAGCCCAGGGAAGCCCAAAGGAACUGAAUGGGAAAUUCUGACUCACGGGGGCCACUGCCAGAAUGCUGCUCUUGGGAAAAGGGCUGCGAGAGAGCUGUGUACCCUACAGCUGGAGGCUUGGGGGUUUCUGUAAGGGCGGGGGGAUGAGAGGGAUUUCACAGGGUUGAUUUUGUGGGUACUAGUAUGUAGGCUCUGCUGGGCACUCAGCUCUCCUUUUGCAGUGAUAGAAGGGACCAGAGGACACCUGGCUGGCAGAGGCUGAUGAGCCCAGGUGUUGGGGGGGUCCUUGCAUCCUAGAGGGAUGGGACUGGAAAGCAGGAGGAGUUUUAGUAAGCGAAGCCCUCUUGAAAGAGGAGGAGAGUGCAGCCUACAGCAAGAACAGGUACCACAGAUCACAGGCCGGCUUCCCACCUAUACCCAGCCUGUCACGGGUGAAACCCUGUGCUCAAGCAUAAGCAGAGGAAAGACUGAGCAGGGUUUCCGCUAUGGUGCUGCUGGGUUUCUCUUUCCUCACAGCGCUGGCAAUAUGGGGCUCCAAACGCCUGUGUUCAGAGGCCAAGGCUGUCUGGUCAACUUGGGGUGCCCAUGUGGAGGUGUGGGGAGACACUGAGGCCUUGCCCUCCAGACCCAGGGAGAGCGUGUCACCAAGGUUAGCUCGAGCUUACCUGUGAGUCACCUGGGAGCCUCGAAGGCUGGACAUGGUUUCUUCCAGGUUCUGUCGAAGAUCCAGAACAUUCUGUACUGUCCUCUUUCUCUGCGACUCUGGAUCUGGCAAGGAGAGCAGAAAAAGGUGGUGAAUGAAGAGAACUUCUGGAAGGGACCUGGGAGCCAGGAAAGGGAAGACUGACCAUAUCUCCCAGAAGCUAGACUCUAGGGCUAACCUGCUUCCUCAAAGGUGACCAACGGAGCAGGUACAGCUAAUGAUCUUCAUGUGUGCCCUGGGCUGGCUGAAGCCCCAACCCCAACAAGAGCUGCAGACAGGGCCCUUCAGAGCCUCUCUCUGAGUGACCACUGUUAUCUCUCAGGCUUUGGUUUGGGGAGGUUCUUCUCACAGCAAAGACAGAAGUUCCUGGCAAGUUUUCCUGUGGUGGAGUGAAAUGGGCCCCCUCCUCAAAAUAACCUCCUUUGGAGCAGUGUGUUGGUGUGUACUUGCUUGGGGGCUCCUGGAGGAGGGGACACUCUGAUGGGCAGAGCUUGCCGAUUUCCACCGUGUAACUAUCCCUACUCGGCCAGUUUCAAUCCAUCAACCUAUCAUGGGCCACAGUUCGGAAGGAUUGGGAACGUGUGGAAUUGCUCUGAGGGGUCUAAGAGGCGGUUCUGACAGUGUCCUAAAGGUGAGGUGGCUGGUGGGAGACGGAGAUGAGCAGCCAUUUUCUGGGGCACUUCGGACCCUAUUCAAAGACUCCUGACCUCGGAAGAAGCACGGGUGUAGCCAGAGUCUGAACCAGUCAGCACCACUUUGCUCAGCCUUGGUUUCUGGAUGAUGUUAGCCUAGACAGAUGAGAGCCUCUAACCGGAAACGAAACUUCACACUUUCUCCCAUCCAGGGAUGGAAAUAGCAUCCAAAAUGAUGCAACGACUCAGAGGACCUUCUUCUCCCUUCUAUUGACCAACCCAAGAAAUCUUUAUCAAACACCCACUCUGGGUUGGGCAUGGUGGUGCAUGCACACCUUUAACCCUGGCACUCAGAAGGCAGAGGCUGGUGAAUCUCUGUGAGUUUGAGGUCAGCCUGGUUUACAUAGCAAGUUCUAGGCCCGCUGAGGCUACAUAGUGAGGCCCUGUUUCAAAAGAGAAAAGAAAAAAGUGGAAAGAAAGAAAACAGAAAAACAACAAAACCUCUAAAAGAAAAAAACCCAAAAUGAAACAAAACAAAACAACCCUCCCCCCAAAAAAUAUCCAAAAAAAAAACAAAAAUCCCCAAAGAUUCCAACUCAACUUGGUACCAGGCACUGGGCUAGGCUCUGAGAACACGAACGAAGAGGCUUGGACCGUGUCCCCUGAGUAACCUUGUACAUAGGGAUCCAAGUCACUGUCACUGAGGAACCAGUCUUCCCAAUCCUUAAAACUGCUUCAGUGGUUAGUGACAGAGGUAACAGUGGGGCCAUCCCUCUCCUCCUGCCCUCAACACUUCCAGCCUUCUAGACAAGCCAAACUUACCCCUAUUCCCAGGCCCAGCCUCUCUCCACCCACAGACUCAGCAGGAGAGCGAGCUCCUUUUCGCUGCCAAAGAGAGCAUUUCUGAAUCCCCUAAGAGGUAUGUUUUUUUUCUCAAGACUGAGCUCAAGCUGGCUGACUGACUGUCACUGGCUGACUGUCACUGGCUGGCUGUCACUGGCUGGCUGUCACUGGCUGGCUGUCACUGGCUGGCUGGCCAAGUGAGGCUGGGUGGGGUGGAAGGGCCAUGCUGUGUGGCUCUUCCCAGUGUCUCUGGGACACCUUCUUCUAGGACCAGCUCCAAUCUUGGACCCAGCCAUCUUGUUUCCCUCCCCUGGGGUCUUGACCCUAUCCUCCAGUUUCUCAAGCCAGUCCCGUGUACUCAGGCCUCCAUGUUGGUGUCAAGGAACAAGGAAAAAUGGCAGGCCUCCAUGCCAGUGGUCUGAGCUCUGCCCACAGCCCUGGCGUCAUCUCUCUGGCUGCCAAUGCCUGUUUAUUCUGGCAAGUGUCACCCUGCGAGCUGCGAGCUGCCUUUAAGUGAUGGCUUGGCAGGGGACACAGUCAGGGUCAGACAGCGCACACCUAUAUAUUUUAAGGUUUAAUGUGCAAGACCCUGUGUGGGAUUAAGAGCAUAGCAUGGGUUCACAGAAGGGUGAUGCCUUCUACGACUUGGACGGAAGUGAGUCAAAGGUGCGUGUAUCUCUAAAGGGUGUUUCCAAAGAGGAAAAGUGAUGGAGCGUUAGUCAGAGGCUUCUGGGUAUGCCCAGUGCUCUGCACACAUCAUCCAGUCCAACCCCAAUGGGAGAUUUGUGCUAUCAGUCCAUUUUACAGAUGAGAACACUGACACUUUGAGAUCAAAUGAAUCAAUCAAGCUACUCACAGCUAGCAUAAAAUAAAGGGUAAAACCAGAAUCUGAAAGAAACUCAACCUCUUUUAUUUAUUUAUUUAUUUAGAUUAUGAUGUGGACCUCAGACUCGCAAUGUUGAAGUCAUCAUGCAUGAAACUCAACCUCUUUUGAUGUAACACAGGGCACUCCUGCAGUGUCAUGCGCAGUGACUGCAUACAGUAAGUGCUUAAUGAUAUCCCAAGAUUUAAUGAGAGCUACCACCAUUUAAAAGUUUUUGUGUAUGUGUGCGUUAUGGGUAUGUUUGUGUGUGUAUGCAUGUACGUAUGUGUGCAUAUGUGUAUAUAUAUGUGUAUAUGUACACAUGUGUGUUGUAUGUGCAUGUGGUGUUGGAUAAAGAUGUCCCCUUCUCAUUAAGGAAAAAUGAUUAAGCUAUAGAGUUGGUCAGCUUCAUUCCUAAUUCUCUACUUUUACCAAGCUUCAGGGCGCCGCAGGGAAUGAUGGGAACUAGAACCCAGAAUCUUGGUAGUGACAGAGAACACUAUAUCAACUCCCGACACCUUCACUAUAUCAAAUCACGGCACCUUCUCGCCCCAGCCUCCUCAAAGACCUCUACUGCAAGCCCUACAUUCUUCCACAUCAACAGAGUAGGUCACACACACCCCUCCUCCCCCCACCCACCAAGGACUCGACUCUUCAAAACCAGAGGUACCAAGGUCCUGGAAAUGGCUUGGCCCAGUCCUGUGUGUCACAGGGUUGGUGGGAGGUCAAGGCGCAGGGGCACAACCAUCUGGGAAUGUCAGAGAGGUUAAGAGUUAUCUGCAGGCACCAGGGUAGAUUUAGAGAUGGCAAGAAGGCUGUAUUUGAUGGGAAUGACAGAUCUGUUCAGUGCCCUGGUUGGGACAGUCCUGAAGAGGCUACACCCUAAAGCUCCCUGGGUGCCUCAGCAGUGUCGCCUACUGGCCAUCUAGGGUAUGACACCUUACAUUUCCACAGCUGAGUCUGCUCUGUGUGUAUGUGUGUGUGUGUGUGUGUGUGUGUGUGUGUGUGUGUGUGUGUGUGUGUAGUAUGUAGUGUAUGUGGUAGUGUAUGUGUGGGGGGGAUGAUAUUCAUACUUCUGAUCCCCAAGUCAUUUUAUGUAUAUUAAGUUAUAUUUGCAAAAGAACUCAACCCACCCCUUACCCUCACCCACUCCAGAUCUGUAGCCUGCUCUACCCCAGCACCCGGCCUAGUUUUACUAAGCUUUUUCUUACCGUGUGCAGUGAGAAUGAAGAUCUGGGAAGGGGUGGAGGGAUUUGAAAUACUAGUUGAUUUGUGAUGACGUUAACAUAAACUAAAAUUAAUGCUACUGGUUAAGUCCCCAUGUCUUGGAGGCUGCCUCCCUGUGUCUUGGUCAACCCUAUGGUCUCAGCCUGGGUAGGCCUGGGGAGGGGGUGAGGUACGUCAAAAAUGGAGGAGUCUGGGGUUGGGGAUUUAGCUCAGCGGUAGAGCGUUUGCCUAGCGAGCGCAAGGCCCUGGGUUCGGUCCCCAGCUCCGGAAAAAAAAAAAAAAAAUGGAGGAGUCUACUGUUGCUCAGGAAGUUUCCAACUUAUGUGACACCUUAGUGCACGUUAGAGCUAAGUUUUUGCAGAACGCAUCUUAGAUCUAAAGGAUGAAGUAUGUGUGUGAGUGCAUGCAUGUGUGUGUGUCACAUGUGUAUCAUGUGUGUCAUAUAUGUAUCAUGUGUGUAUCGUGUGUAUGUCAUAUGUAUCAUGUGUGUAUCAUGUAUGUGUGUAUCGUGUGUGUAUCAUAUGAGUGUAUCAUGUGUGUAUUACAUGUGUGUAUCAUGUGUGUGUCAUAUGUAUGUAUCGUGUGUGUAUCAUGUAUGUGUGUAUCAUGUGUGUAUCAUGUGUGUCACAUGUGUGUAUCAUGUGUGUGAAUUGUAUGUAUGUAUCAUGUGUGUAUAUUAUGUGUGUCUAUAUACAAAGAGCAUACUGUCUGUGGAGUCUUACUACAGAACCAUAAUCAAAUAUACUCGACACACUGGUGCAUGCACACAGUAAUGCCAGCGACCAUGUGUUUGCCCCAUGUGAGGCAUGACGCUAAGCACAUGACUCUGUGGUAUUUCACUUGAUUCAUCAUAUUUGUCUGGAUUCCAACCCUCCUGUUCUUUCUAUCAUGAUACCCUGCCUCAGAAUAUGCUCCCCUCACCAAGGUGUGCCGAUACAGUGUUCCGCAAUACACACACAAGGCGAUUUGGGUGGCUCUGCCUCUCACUGUGAGACAGGAAGGUGGCUAAGAAAUUCAUGAAGAAAAGAGGCAAUUUGUGCCUGAGAAGGGAAGGCCCAGGGUACACUGGGAGGAUGACACGAGCAGAUUCCUUCUACCUGCCUUGCAUCAGACAAGGGGAACAGGCCUCCCAAGAACGCCAAGACCGAGGGUUUGCCGCUAAGCUAAAAACUUGGACACUGGGAAGAAACUGACUUUCAAUUUGGUGACAAGAACAUAGUUCUUAGGCCGGCAGCUGUGGCUCAGGACGUUAAUCUUAGUACUUGAGAGGUAGAGGCCAGCGGAACUCUGAGUUUGAGGUCAGUCUCAUCUACAGAGUGAGUUCUAGGACAGCCAUGUCUAUAUAGAGAAAUCCUGUCUCAAGCAAACAAACAACGAAAACAAAAAAGAACACAGUUUUUUGUGUCAAGAAGAAAACCCACCAUCCAGGUCCUCCACUGCCCCUUCGCAGCUGGGCUGACCCUGACCAGGUUACUUCAUCUUGCUGUAGUUUUCCUUUCUGUUAAAUGGAGAGGGAUGAUGACCUCACUGCAGUGAGGCUUAUGGGCCUAGCUCACUAACACACUUAGCCUAGCCGGUCAUACAGCACACUGCCUGGAAACACAGCUGGAAUCUGGCAGAGGUGGGCAGAGGUGGGGCUCGAGCUCCCCACACUCUGCCACUCCCAAACAGGUAGGACCACGCUCUUGCUUGCCGAGGCCCUCACACCUGGACUUGGGACAAGUGCGAUACACUUAGCAAACCUUGCUUCUGCACCACGAAGCCUGACUAGCAGCUUUCCUCAAGGGCUAGUCUUGCCUGUGGGACUCACUUUGCUACACGGAUUUCCUCGGACCAGAAGGCUGAGCCGUGAGAUGGUCAUGGACAGGGAGCCUCCAGCUCCAGGGUAAAAGCCCCAACAGAUUCAGGCCAAGCUCCAGAAGGAGGAGGCGCAGGGGGAUCCAUCACCCAGUAGUCAGAUUCCCCCACGUUCUGUGAGGUUUUAAUUAUUAGCCAGCAAUUAAGUAAACUGCAAUAACUUUUGACUACUGAAGCCUUAAUUACCUUCACAAAUGCUUCAGAACCCACAAGCCAUGUAGCUCAGGGGAGGGCAACUAAGAACUAACCAGGUCUGCACCUUACCUCUAGACUGGCUUUCUCUGUGAAUGGUGGGGUGAGGUACAAGCCCCCAGGAGGGACAGAAGUGAGCCAAGAGGGAGCUGGAAAGCAUUUGCCACCCUCUCACAUUAAAGACAGGAAGUAACCUCUCCUCUAAGUCCACACAGGGGACUCAGGGCUGCUGUGAGUUUCCGUGCAUGGGUUCUUUUUCUCACUGUCCAGUACUGUGGCCUGAGACAGAGGCUCAGAUGUCUGCAGAAGAGGUAAGUCACAGCCAGAAUUAUCCACAGGGGAUGGUCUGGGCCUAGAUCCAUGUAGAAAUCCUGGCCAGCCUAAACGACCUGGAAACAGGAAGGACCGGGCCUCUCUGUGUCUGUUCCUCUCUCACACAUCUCAACAACUCCUGGGAGGAAGAAAAUUCCCCAGCCCUAUUUGAUCCCCAGUAUGGGGGUCUGAUCUUUAAAUUCUGGAAAUCUGUCACAAUUUCAGCUUCUAAAAAGAUUCCAGCCCUAGCCAGCAAGUCACUUUCUCCCAGUAUUUACUGCAACAAUCGUAAGACGCUGGAGAAUUUCACACACCGCGGCCAGGAUCCGUUAGGCAGUAAGUACUCUUGUGUUUCAGUGGGCCAAAUGUCUCUGAGAACUGCAAUCUUUUUGCCCUUCUGCUCCACUCGAGGACAUAAAUCUCCCAGCUCAAGCAAGAGCAGGCCAUCACAAGGUUCUCCUGGUCUAAGGGCACAUCCCAGGGUGCCCCCAGGGGCUCAGGGUUAAGCUAGGCAAUUCUGUGGAAUCUGCACCAGUCACUUUGUACUGGAACCAUUCCCACCCCUGCAAAGACUGACUCAGGCGCCAUAGCAGGGAAAGCUAAAAUGUGACAAGUGACUGCUACACAGAUCUCCCCUGCCCGAGGUUAGAGCACAGCAGCUUGUCUGAGGGGCAACUCCACCCUCUUUCUUCACCCCUUCCCCAAUCAUCUGCUGGCCCCAGAGGUCCUAGAAGGAGACAGGGUGGGCGGGCCUCCAUGGCAGAGACACUCCACUGUCAUGGGGCAGGCAGGCAGGAAACUAUUUAUUCUGUUACUAAUCCCAUCAAUUCCUCUCAUCCCCCCACUUAAGUCACAAUAUUGUCAGAGGCGGCUAACACAGAACCCUGCAGUGCGGCAAAUCCUGCGCUGGUAGCUGUUCUGUGCACAACUGCUCCCCAAAGGAGUCCCCGGGGAUUUUCUCUUUACCCUGGAGAACUGAACCCACUCAGUCAAUGAGUGGGCUGACUGGAGCCCUCCCGAUGGCUGCUCCAUCAUGAGGCCCCAGACAGAGCUGGGACUUCAAAAGAGAAAAGCAAACGCAUCGGCCAUAUGGGGGCAUUAGACAAAAACUACAACUACAAAGAAACCUGGGGCUAAACAAGAGAAGUACGCGGAGGCCUGGAAUCCACCAGGCAGGAGUCGCCCCGCUUCAUGUGCAGUUUUGAUUUUCAUUGAGGUAAAAGCCCCAAGCGAACACAUCUCAACCAGCUGUGGAACUUGGGGAAAUGACUUCUCCCUGGGCCUCAGUUUUCCUGGUCUGUAAGUAAGGGAGCAGUGUAGUUGACUAAGCGCUGCUAGUGUGGUCCUGUGACUUUGUGCUAGACUGAAGUCUGUAUAAAUGCUUGCUUUUAAGCAUAGAUUCCAGGGUGUCGUUCCCAGAGUUUUUUUGGUUCACGCGCCUAGAGGUGGCUCCCGGGAAUCUGCGAGCUGCCAGCUCCUAAAUGAGGUGAUGUGAUCAGAGGGUCCUACUUUGCAUUUGUGUGAACGUUGCAAGAACGGGAGACCCGACAAAGCACCAGGGCUCAACAUCCCCACCCAAAGUGAUGGAGAAAUAUCGCUGGCACAAGUCGGAGCUCUGCUCUUCUGCGUUAAGACAGCCACCAAAAUCUUGCCAGGUCUCUGGGGCUUGUUGCAGAGAACAACCACACGGGGGCGCUAGGGGUCCUCAGCCGCUUUCAGCCUUGCUUCGGGGUGAUGCCGCAAUGCUGUAGGAUGGGCAGCUGUCUAGCUCUCGGGUUUGGGAGAAGUCGCCCAAAGGUCUCUUUCCCUCUAAAUUCUUUGCAGGCUCUGCACUCCUGGAGCAGACAUCCUUUUACCUCCCAGUCUCUGACCCUGGCUAAGUUAGCACGCUUGGGGAAGAGCCCAGUGUUUGCAGCAUCGAUUUUGUGGCGCCAUCUACCCAGUUUAAGAGCAGGGCCUGGCUUACCGGGAUUUUUCAACCACUUAAGGUAGAAGUGGGCUCUGGAGACCCACAGAUUCCCCUGGCAAGCUCAUAUUCAGAGCCAAAGUUUGAGAGCGAAUCCAGUUUGCGUUUCAACACAAGCGCCCGCCCUGAGAAGUGUGCGGGGUCUAAGUCUGUUCUCUGGAGGUUUCAUUUCUGCUCUUUUGCAGUGUGCUUGGGGCAGGUGGCUUUCUGGGAGAGGUAGGAGGACAGACUCCUUCCAUUAUGCCCCAUGGAGGUCCUUUUGGGAAGAGAGGAGGUCUCUUCAGCGAGCUGAAGGCAGGAAGGGAACCCACAAGGCUGGCUGCAAUGGCAGCACAACUCAGCUUCACACAGCCUUGCGUACAAAGCAGCCUUUGGCAAAGAACUUGGGGAAUGAGCUUACAGAUCCAGGGGACAGCUACUUCUCAAUGAUUUGCACUUGGGGAAGGCUUUGCUAGAUUAAGGACAAUUAGUACUGAGGGCCAAGAGAUCAGAAGAGGAAGGACCCUGUUUGGAAUGACUGUUGUAAGGUCUGUUAGUUAGUCCACCUGUCCUUCCUUCCUUCCUUCUUUCCUUCCUUCCUUCCUUCCUUCCCUCCCUCCCUCCCUCCCUCCCCACCCCCUCUGUUUUGUUUGUUUUUGAGACAGGGGUUUCUCUGUGCAGCUUUGACUGUUCUGGAACUCACUCUGCAGACCAGGCUGGGCUCCAACUCAAGAGAUCCACCUGCCUCUCCUUCUGAGGACUGGCAUUAAAGGUUACAGGAUGAGAGAGGAUUCUGAAGAUUUGGCGCUGGACUGGGCUUGUAAGCAGGCCUGCAGCAGAGGAUAACCACUGACAGUCUGCCCAUCUCAGACACUCAGGCGGGUCACUGCAGAGGGCAGGCCCUGGACCUCCUGCCUGGUGAACCUUAAGGUUUACUUUUGCUGGAAAUGUUUCCCUUUUUAACAAUGCCCAGAGCCUUCCUGUGACACUCUGCUCAGAAGAUGUUGAUGAUGUCUUCUGUGCAGCUGCUUCUGGGAACCGGGAAUGGUUGUUAUAGCAACAGUUUACACAGCAGACAGCCAUCUGCAGGCGAGGGAAUGGGGAGGAGAGGAGAGGGGCUGGGCUCAGGUGUGAAGAGCAUUGGGAGAGGCCUGGGGGGGUUUCUGGUUGUGACCCUAGUAAUACUAGGUCUUGGCUAACUCUUCUCUCUCUGAUAUCAGGUACUGUCCUAGAGGCUUUAUGUAUAUGAGCCCUGUUUGGUAGCACGACAUGCCUGAGCUGGUCUAUUUAUUACUUCAAUAUCAUAGCUGAGAAAACCGGAGACUGCUGUCCAGGGUGACACGCAGCACAUGGCAAAGCCAAAAUGUGAAGUCAGGUGUUCUAGCCUCGUCCAAUACUAGCGCCACGAGCUAGAGAUGGGGAGACAUGUAGACGAGGUUUAAUCACACGCUAUAAAACCCACUUUUUAAAAUAUGUAAUUCCAUGGCUUGCACCAUGUUUGUACAUCAUCGCUCAUGUAAUUUCAAAAUAUGUUAUCGCCACCUCCCAGAUAAGCCCGUACACUAAGCACUCACCUGUCUUUCUCUCCCUCCUCUAACCCUGGCAAACACUAGUCUACCUGCUGACUCUGCAGAUCUACCCAUUCAGGAUCCCUCGUACAAACAGGAUCACACACCUUUGUGGCUUCUGUCACUUCCAAGUUGGUCUAUGUUGUAUGUUUCACCCCCUGUUCCUUUUCAUGGCUGAAUAGUAUUCUACAGUGUGGAUAAUACUUGCUCAUUUAGCCAUCAUUUGAUGAACAUUUGCUUCAUCUCUAUCUUUUUCCCAGUAUAAAUAAUGCUGCCAUGAAAAUUCACAUGGGGGCUGGAGAGAUGGCUCAGCGGUUAAGAGCACUGACUGCUCUUCCAGAGGUCCUGAGUUCAAAUCCCAGCAACCACAUGGUGGCUCACAACCAUCUGUAAUGAGAUCUGAUGCCCUCCUCUGGUGUAUCUGAAGACAGCGACAGUGUACUCAUAUACAUUAAAUAAAUAAAUUUAAGAAAAGAAAAAAGAAAAGAAAA